rnacentral:lncRNA from 7 species
AGGGGGCAAUAGGGGGCGCUGUGAGGAGAUAGGGGGAGAUAUGGGGAGAUAUGGGCGAUAGGGGGAGAUAUGGGGAGAUAGGGAGAGAUGGGGGCGCUGUGGGGAGAUAUGGGGUGAUAUGGGGCGCUAUGGGGUGAUAUGAGGAGGUAUGGGGCUAUAUGGGGAGAUAUGGGGCACUAUGGGGAGAUAGGGGGUGCUGUGGAGAGAUAAUAGGGGACGCUGUGAGGAGAUAUGGGGAGAUAUGGGGAGAUAUGGGGAGAUAGGGGGAGAUAGGGGGAGAUUUGGGGUGCUAUGGGGAGAUAUGGGAAUAUAUGGGGCGCUAUGGGGAGAUAGGGGGCGCUGUGGGGUGAUAGGGGGCGCUAUGGGGUGAUAUGGGGAGGUAUGGGAGAUAUGGGGAGGUAUGGGGUGCUAUGGGGAGAUAUGGGGCGCAAUGGGGGAAUAUGGCGAGAUAUGGGGAGAUAGGGGGAGAUAGGGGGAGGUAUGGGCGCUAUGGGAAGAUAGGGGGAGAUAUGGGGCGCUAUGGGGAGAUAGGGGGCACAAUGGGGAGAUAGGGGGCGCGAUGGGGAGAUAGGGGGCGAUAUGCGGCACUAUGGGGCGCUAUGGGGCAAUAUGGGGUGAUAUGAGGAGGUAUGGGGUUAUAUGGGGAGAUAUGGGGCGUAUAGGAGAUAUGGGGCGUUAUGGGGAGAUAGGGGCGAUAUGGGGAGAUAUGGGGAGAUAUGGGGGUGCUAUGGGGUGCUUAUGGGUGAUAAGGGGUGCUAUGGGGAGAUAUGGGGCGCUAUGGGCCAAUCUGGGGUGAUAUGAGGAGGUAUGGGAUUAUAUGGGGAGAUAUGGGGCUGUAUAGGAAGAUAUGGGGCGUUAUGGGGAGAUAAGGGGCGAUAUGGGGAGAUAUGGGGAGAUAUGGGGCGCUAUGGGGAGAUAUGGGGAGAUAUGGGGCGCUAUGGGGCAAUAUGGGGCGCUAUGGGUAGAUAUGGGGCACUAUGGGAAGAUAUGGGGCGCUAUGGGGAGAUAGGGGGCGCCAUGGGGUUCUAUGGGGUCCCAGUGGUUCCCUAUGGGUCCCAAUGGUUCCCAAUGUGUCCCAAUGUGUCCCUAUGGGGUCUCAGUGGGUCCCAAUGUGUCCCUAUGGUCCCAAUGUGUCCCUAUGGGGUCUCAGUGGGUCCCAAUGUGUCCCAAAGUGUCCCAAUGUGUCCCUAUGGGUCCCAAUGUGUCCUUAUGGUCCCAAUGUGUCCCUAUGGGUCCCAAUGUGUCCCUAUGGGUCCCUAUAUGUCCCUAUGGGUCCCAGUGUGUCUGUGUGGUCCCAGCAGGAGGCGUCCCAUGGGGCGGUGGGGGCGGCGCUGCCCCCCGCGCUGCAGCCCUAUGGUUCCCCCCCCCGGGGCCGCCUGCGGGUGGUGGGGGCGGGGCGGGCGCUGGCGGGCGCCUAUCAGUGCCGCGUGGACAACGGGGUGGGACCCCCCGCAACCGCACUCAUCCGCCUCGUCGUCACCUGUGAGUGGGGGGGAUGGGGGGCGGCGUGGGGUGGCGUUGGGGGCACCUUUGGGGUGGCAUUGGGGUGGCAUUGGGGUGGCAUUGGGGGCACCUUUGGGGUGGGAUUGGGGUGGCAUUGGGGUGGGAUUGGGGCACCUUUGGGGUGGGAUUGGGGUGGCAUUGGGGUGGGAUUGGGGGCACCUUUGGGGUGGGAUUGGGGUGGCAUUGGGGUGGCGUUGGGGUGGGAUUGGGGUGGGAUUGGGGGCACCUUUGGGGUGGGAUUGGGGUGGCAUUGGGGUGGUAUUGGGGGCACCACUGGUAUUGGGGCGGGAUUGGGGUGGUAUUGGGGCAGUAUUGGGGGCACCAUUGGGGGCGGUAUUGGGGGCACCAGUGGGGUGGUAUUGGGGCAAUAUUGGGGUGAUAUUGGGGGCACCAUUGGGGUGGUAUUGGGGUGGUAUUGGGGUGGUAUUGGGGGCACCUUUGGGGCGGUAUUGGGGUGGGAUUGGGGUGGUAUUGGGGUGGCAUUGGGGGCGGUAUUGGGGUGGUAUUGGGGUGGCAUUGGGGUGGUAUUGGGGUGGCGUUGGGGGCACCUUUGGGGUGGCAUUGGGGGUGGUAUUGGGGUGGCAUUGGGGUGGCAUUGGGGUGGCGUUGGGGACACCUUUGGGGUGGGAUUGGGAUGGUAUUGGGCUGGGAUUGGGGUGGGAUUGGGGUGGUAUUGGGGGCACCUUUGGGGUGGGAUUGGGGUGGUCUUGGGGUGGUCUUGGGGUGGCAUUGGGGGCACCUUUGGUAUUGGGGUGGCAUUGGGGUGGUAAUGGGGGCACCAUUGGUAUUGGGGUGGUAUUGGGGUGGUGUUGGGGGCGGUAG